UACGUAGGGGGCAAGCGUUGUCCGGAUUUAUUGGGCGUAAAGAGCGUGUAGGCGGUUCGGUAGGUCCGUUGUGAAAACUCGAGCUCAACCUCGAGACGCCGAUGGAAACCCCCGAACUAGAGUCCGGAAGAGGAGAAUGGAAUUCCUGGUGUAGCGGUGAAAUGCGCAGAUAUCAGGAAGAACACCCGUGGCUAAGGCGGUUCUCUAGUACGGUACUGACGCUGAGACGCGAAAGCCGUGGGGAGCGAACAGG
rnacentral:rRNA from 1 species